ensembl:antisense
GUCCUUUGUGAUAUGCACCUCAUCUUUCCUGUGCUUUCAGAACUCUGGAGGCCAGGAAUCAUAAUUAUAAUUGUGCACUUGGGAGUUAGAGAAUCUUACAGCUCUUAAAGUAUCUACAUCUUUACAUCUUGACUCAAACUUGUGACAAUAUCUCUUCUACAAAGCUUCCUCCUGUUCCACCUGGAAGAUGCUUGACACAGUCUCUGGGAGCUCCUCAUAAAUGCUCGGCUGGAGAAAAAGGAAAGAACAAAAGGUUCAUCUCAUCGGUCCUCCACGGCCUUCAGUUCUACAGCGUAUUCCAUCCAGUGACAGAAUGGUCUUCUUUCCCCACAGCACACAGAAAUGGAAUGGGAGACCAGCAGGAGGGACCGGGAAGACAGGAAGAUCACAAAAACUAAAAGUAUAUAUAAAAAUGCCAUGAGGGGGUCCAUAGGCUUCAUACACUAAUUUUCAAAAUAACUCAUAGGUAAGGGGAAAGCAACCCUGCUCCUCUGAAACUUUUUCUAGCAGCAGCUCUGAUGUAGUCUGUGAUCUGAUCCUCUGCCAAUACUCAAUCAACUAAUAAAUGGACUCUAAGAGACAGUUGUGAAGUGACGGUUCCCUACAACUCUCCGAGACAAUUCUGCCCGUGCCUGGACUGCUCACGAUGGGCACAUGGUCACAUGGUACAGCCACAGGAGCUACCGUGGAAUAACAACAAUAGAAAAGAGGGUCUUCUAGCUCUCAGGUUUCAAGGGAACCUGGCAGAACGGAAGGAAAGGGAGAAGAAAAAUCACUACUGAUUUCAGAUGGGAGAGUGAUGAGUUUGGGUCAUCCUUUUGCACUUCCUCGCCUCUCUGAACUGAAUUUCUUGGCCAGAGUAAACUCGCAGGGAAGUAUUACAUGCAAGGUGCUAUUGGGAUGAGCACCAGCGUUUCUACCCAGCGCUCAGGGUAAGUCCAAAUAGAGAAACAACAGGGAGAUGUAUUCAUUAAGAAUGGAAAACAGAAAUGACCUAGGACCUGACCUAGGACCACUUGCCAUGGAGAAUCUAAAAGCUGCAAGCUUCCGGGGAAGAAAUGGACAAGUGUGUAGCAUGCCAAGGCACUGGAGCAGCGUGUGAUUCUCAGAGCACUUACAAGGCCCGGCUGGCACAGCCUGAGAAUGACAAAUUACUUCUAUGUGCCCCACAGGUAGAUACAGAUUAGAAUGUUUUGGACAAAGAUAGAUGCCUCAGCAGAAGUGCUCAGUAUGGCCUAUGACACAGGGAAAAUGUACCCCAAUAUCUAGUCAACAUACCUACUUGGGAGUAUACUUAAUAUGAACCCAGACUAUUUUAUAAAUUAACUGCACCUAAUAAUAAUAAUAACAAUAAUAAUAAUAAGCAAAAACAAAAAAUCAGUCUUCCAUCACAUCCGGCAUAUUUUUCACAUGUCCUGUGUGAUAGUUUGUAUAUGCUUGGCCCAGAGAGUGGCACUAUUAGAAGGUGUGACCCUGUUAGAGUUUGUGUGUCACUGUGGGUGUGGCUUUAAGACCCUUAUCCUAGCUGCCUGGAAGCCAGUAUUCUGCCAGCAGUCUUCAGAUGAAGAUGUAGAACUCUCAGUUCCUCUUGUACCAUGCUUCUCUGGAUGUCGCCAUGUUCCUGCCUUGAUGAUACUGGACUGAACCUCUGAACCUGUAAGCCAGCCCCAGUUAAAUGUUGUUCUUAUAAGAGUUGCUUUAGGUCACUGUGUCUGUUCAAAGUAGAAAAAAAACCCUAAUUAAGGCAUCCUGGAGGACAUGACAGUAAAAUAUAAUAGUUUAUGAAUAUAUAAGGCCAGAAUCUAAUACCAUUAUAUAUAUAUAUAAACACAAAAGAUUUCCCCAUAUUUAUACAAGUACAUUGUAGCUGUCUUCAGACACACACUAGAAGAGUGCAUCAGAUCCCAUUACAGAUGGUUGUGAGCCACCAUGUGGCUGCUGGGAAUUGAACGCAAGACCUUUCAGAAGGACAGUCAGUGCUCUUAACCACUGAGCCAUCUCUCCAGGCCUGUAGCCUCUCUGUUAACAGCACUUUUAUCACCAAGCUCAUCUGUCUCUCUCUCCGCAAUUACACAAAUGUACACACUGAAUAAAGAAGCCCAUUCUGUAAAUGGAGCACCAGGCAUACUGGGAUUAGCAGCCAAAUGAAACAGAUGAGUGGAUUUUUGUUAAUAAGGAAGAGGUGUUAUUAUUGUUAGUUGAUGCGAUUUUCAACAAAAUGUUAAUAAUUUUUUCAACAACUACACACUGAAGCUGUUCACUUCAUUUUGAAUAGCCUGCUCUUCCCUCUAAAACUGCCCAUGAAGGUAUAUUUCUCCAUGUCUUCUUGUAUUGCCUUUUUUUUCCAAUCCUUCCUGUACUGUUAUUGUCUAGUAAUAAGUUAUUUUUCUUUCCAUAAACUGAUUGUGUCCUGAUGUGUUAAGAUUCUAACCUAUGAGAUUUGUUUGUAUUUUAAGGCACUUUGUCACCCUGUCCCAUGUCAAUAUUUCUUUGAUGUUCCAUUUAAGCAGAGUAUCAUUUGUUCCAUUUCAAGAGUCCUUAACUGGUCUUAGCAUACGUGGCUGUUUCUCCUGCUGCACACACAUUAGUCUGACACUGGUAUCCUGUUGUAUGUUCUGCUGCUGACUGCAUUGCCUGCUUUGUUCUUUCAUUCUCUGGUCCUUCUGGCACACUACGGUUCAUGAUUCAAAAUGUAUCAAUAGAUAAAAGCUUGUGACAACUGCAUUAUGGAAUUUCAUUACAAAUCAUGAUUGUUUUCCCUGUAUGUUACAAAUAAGUCAUAUUAAUCUUGGCAUCACUAUACAGACAAAAAAAGAUAACUAUGAAUUUUAUUUCAUGACAGUAAAUAGGAUAGAAUAUAUCAAAUAAGAAGAAAAGGCUAGACUAGCUACCUCGGAGAUGUCAUCUCACCAUGCAAAGUCCUCCAUUCCUUAAAUACCACAGGACAGUUCUGCCUUGGGACUCUGCAGUUGCCUUCCCUGCACCUGGAACAAUCCUCAUCUACUCAUGAACCACUGGCCUCCAUGUUUCCUUCAGACAGGCCCCGGAGACUCAGUCUGUGGCUUCCUGCUAGCAAGAAUGCAGAUAUGAUAGAUUACCUGUGGUAGCCAUACUGGACCUCAAGAUGACCGUGGGAACGAGGAUCACGGGAGGCGGGGCUCUGAGCUGACAGGAAUCUAGACCUUGGCCUGCCAGAUGCCAUAUCUCUCCUGCACUACCUUUAUAAGACAUUUUUUUUUUUGAAUGAGGAAGAAAUAAACUUUGAUGUAGUCUAAGCCACUGUU